GCUCCUGAGGCUUAGUGGUUAGAGCUGCCGCCUCGGAUGCGGAAGGUCAUGGGUUCGAUCCCCUGUCGAGUCA